rfam:Caryophanon tenue strain DSM 14152 DSM_14152_R1_001_contig_1, whole genome shotgun sequence.
CCCGUGCUACAACCGCACUGACGAGGUUUUUAAGUAUCUUCUUGAUCACCUUAGUUCGGGCGAGUCUUAGUCUAAGA